rnacentral:rRNA from 1 species
AUUGAACGCUGGCGGCAGGCCUAACACAUGCAAGUCGAGCGGAUGAAGGGAGCUUGCUCCUGGAUUCAGCGGCGGACGGGUGAGUAAUGCCUAGGAAUCUGCCUGGUAGUGGGGGAUAACGUCCGGAAACGGGCGCUAAUACCGCAUACGUCCUGAGGGAGAAAGUGGGGGAUCUUCGGACCUCACGCUAUCAGAUGAGCCUAGGUCGGAUUAGCUAGUUGGUGGGGUAAAGGCCUACCAAGGCGACGAUCCGUAACUGGUCUGAGAGGAUGAUCAGUCACACUGGAACUGAGACACGGUCCAGACUCCUACGGGAGGCAGCAGUGGGGAAUAUUGGACAAUGGGCGAAAGCCUGAUCCAGCCAUGCCGCGUGUGUGAAGAAGGUCUUCGGAUUGUAAAGCACUUUAAGUUGGGAGGAAGAGCAGUAAGUUAAUACCUUGCUGUUUUGACGUUACCAACAGAAUAAGCACCGGCUAACUUCGU